rnacentral:lncRNA from 1 species
GUUCAUUCUCUCUCAAUUGCGGUCUGUAUUGAUCGCGUUUGUAACGACAUGUCACUUUGUCCAUCCCACCUACUGCAGUGCCAAAGGGAUUCGUAACAACAGCGACAGAAUACCUGACCACUGUGACUGACCCAAACAUGACUCAGAACAUGUUCCAAGAGCGGAUGUACCAUGUUUUCUUUAAGGACUGGCCCUCGAGCCACCCACUCACUAUAACCACCAAUCAGGAAGGAUUCAAAGAUGGGUGGAUUGGAUGCUUGUUUGGGACAGUUGUGGGAUGUUGCAGGUAUUUGUAUCCGUCCUCACCACAGUAAAGUACGCCUGUGUGAGCUUCAACUGUCCCGUCUCAAUGACUACACCAGUCUGGUCUGGCCUGUUUGUGAGUCUGCAUCCCGCUUGUCACUGUCUGAUGAAAGACUGUGUUUGCCCACUGACCUAAUGCUUAGGCAUCCCCGGUUGUCACUGUCUGUUGCCA